GAUCCCUUGGCCAAAUGGUAAGGCGUCCGAUUCCAGCUCCUUCUCUCUCGCAAGUGAUUGAGAUGUGCUUCCGGAAGAUUAUCUGUUCGAUUCAGGUAGGGAUCA